rnacentral:rRNA from 1 species
UACGGGGGGGGCAAGCGUUGUUCGGAAUUACUGGGCGUAAAGGGCUCGUAGGCGGCCAACUAAGUCGGAUGUGAAAUCCCCAGGCUCAACCUGGGAACUGCAUCCGAUACUGGAUGGCUUGAAUUCGGGAGAGGGAUGCAGAAUUCCAGGUGUAGCGGUGAAAUUCGUAGAUAUUCGCAAGAACACCAGUGGCGAAGGCGGCUCACUGGCCCGAUACUGACGCUGAGGCACGAAAGCGUGGGGAGCAAACAGG